rnacentral:rRNA from 1 species
CGGUUAAAAAGCUCGUAGUUGGAUUUCUGUUGAGGAUGACCGGUCCGCUCUUUGAGCGCGUAUCUGGUUCAGCCUUGGCAUCCUCUUGGGGAACGCUACUGUGCUUGAUUGCAUGGGGCGGUAUUCAAGACUUUUACUUUGAGGAAAUUAGAGUGUUCACUGCAAGCGUUAGCAAUUGAAUACAUUAGCAUGGAAUAAUAAUAUAGGACCUUGGUACUAUUUUGUUGGUUUCUAGAACUAAGGUAAUGAUUAAUAGGGACAAUUGGGGGCAUUCGUAUUAACGCGUCAGAGGUGGAAUUCUUAGAUUGCGUUACGACGAACUACUGCGAAAGCAUUUGCCAAGGAUGUUUUCAUUGAUCAAGAACGAAAGUAUGGGGAUCGAAGACGCUUAGAUACCGUCGUAGUCUAUACCAUAAACUAUGCCAACUAGAGAUUGGAGGUCGUUCUCUUUAUGACUCCUUCAGCACCUUAUGAGAAAUCAAAGUCUUUGGGUUCCGGGGGGAGUAUGGUCGCAAGGCUGAAACUUAAAGGAAUUGACGGAAGGGCACCACCAGGAGUGGAGCCUGCGGC